CCAGCCUCCAGAGGUGGAGCUUCUCUUUCCUCCCCGCGCAGACCCAAGGCUGAGCAGCAUGGAGAGGGCUUUACCAACAAGAUCCUUGGCUGCUGCUCCAGGUUCCAUGGAACAUGUAGGUGUGUGUUAGAUGUGUGCGGAGUGGGUGGCGCUACCAUCACAACCCUUGCAACAGCUCUUGAAGAUGUAUCCUAAGAGAAGAGAAGACAUGACUCACUAGAAAAGACAAUACUUGGAAAAGUAGAAGGCAGUAAGAAAAGAGGAAGACUGCAUUCCAGAUGGAUAGACUCAAUCAAGGGAGCCACAGCCUUGAGUCUGCAUUGUCUGAACAGAGCUGUUGAUAAGAUGGAAAAGAAUAAAUUCAUUUCCCUCAGUUUCUCAAAACUCACCAGGAUUUAUAAAACGAUGGAAGUCUGCAAUUAUGCCUUUCUGAAGAGAAUAUUUGACACAGCCAAUUUCACAAGGGAGAAAACGCUGAUUGCAAUGAGGGGGCAGCAUUCCAUGGCUCAAGAUAUUCAGGAAGUAGAAUGAGGUUUCAAGCAUAACUGGAAGAUGAUUUUGAACAAAAGAACAUAAAUAAUAAUUGCAAGUAGUACAAUGAAAAAGCUUUGUUGUGAUACCAAUAUUGUAAACAGACUCUGUUAAAGCUCUUCAAAAUCUAAAAGAAGGAAUCAGAACAACAUUCAUUUUUUGCAUUUAUAGGAUGCCUUUCUCCUGGCAUGGGAUCCAACAAGGCUUGCAAAUGUUAAUGACCAGCAGACUGAUGUUCUGGGAAAGAGUUCUGUAAACCAUGCAAACAACAAAGCUAAAUCCUUGGAUUUGAAAGAAGUAAGAUUCUCUCCUAGUGAGCUGUGUUACACUCCCUUGAACUACAGCACCCUAACACACAAUUUGAAAUACCUUCUAAAUAAAAAUCUCUGAAUUCAUA